rnacentral:rRNA from 1 species
GCUUACGACUACACCUGCCUGAGUACGUCUGAUCUCGGAAGCUAAGUAGGGUCGGGCCUGUUUAGUACUUGGAUGGGUGACCGCCUGGGAAUACCAGGUGCUGUAAGCU